rfam:Brachypodium distachyon strain Bd21 chromosome 4, whole genome shotgun sequence.
UUGUUACUCCCUCCGAUCCAUAUUAACUGUCGAAAUAUUACAUGUGUGUAGACGGUUUUUAAGUAUAGAUACAUCCAUAUUUGGACAAAUUUGAGACAAUUAAUAUGGAUCGGAGGGAGUACCUU